UACGUAGGGGGCGAGCGUUGUCCGGAAUCAUUGGGCGUAAAGCGCGUGUAGGCGGCCAUGUAAGUCCGUUCUGAAAGCCCGGGGCUCAACCCCGGGAGGCGGAUGGAUACUGCAUGGCUUGAGUACGGAAGAGGCGAGUGGAAUUCCCGGUGUAGCGGUGAAAUGCGCAGAUAUCGGGAGGAACACCAAUGGCGAAGGCA
rnacentral:rRNA from 1 species